rnacentral:rRNA from 1 species
AUUGAACGCUGGCGGCAGGCCUAACACAUGCAAGUCGAGCGGUAGCACAGAGAGCUUGCUCUCGGGUGACGAGCGGCGGACGGGUGAGUAAUGUCUGGGAAACUGCCUGAUGGAGGGGGAUAACUACUGGAAACGGUAGCUAAUACCGCAUAACGUCGCAAGACCAAAGAGGGGGACCUUCGGGCCUCUUGCCAUCAGAUGUGCCCAGAUGGGAUUAGCUAGUAGGUGGGGUAACGGCUCACCUAGGCGACGAUCCCUAGCUGGUCUGAGAGGAUGACCAGCCAAACUGAAACUGAGACACGGUCCAGACUCCGACGGGAGGCAGCAGUGGGGAAUAUUGCACAAUGGGCGCAAGCCUGAUGCAGCCAUGCCGCGUGUAUGAAGAAGGCCUUCGGGUUGUAAAGUACUUUCAGCGGGGAGGAAGGUGUUGAGGUUAAUAACCUCAGCAAUUGACGUUACCCGCAGAAGAAGCACCGGCUAACUCCGUGCCAGCAGCCGCCGUAA